UCAAGAAGGUCGUGUGCGCGCUCGCCUCUUAAAGCGUAUAUCAAACAUAUAUUAAAAAGCAAAAAAAGCUUAGCAAAAGCUCGUUUCGUAUCGUUUGCUCGUUCGGUUCGACGUUUCGUUAGACGCGCGCAAAACCCAAAAAUAAUUAAAGUCAACAACAAGCGGCUAACAAACAAUUUGGAUUAUUUCUGCAAUAGAAAAUUCAAACACAAAAUUCGAUCGAAAGAAAGAGAUAAACAUUGGGCAAUUAAGGAAGUAAUUUGUGGCCAACGCUGUUGUUGCUGUUGGUAGUUGUUGGUGUUGCCGUCUCCUUCUCCAUCUCCCUCUCUCUUUCUCUAUCUCUAUCUCCCUUGUUGCAAGAUCAUCAGCCAGAGCCAGCAGCCGUCAUGAAUGCAGCCACAUGAAACGUCGGCUGUUGAAGCGUCAACAGCAAUUGCCAUAAUUGCCAUUGGAGCAGCAAAACACACACACACACGUACACACACACAUACGUAUAUUGUUGCCAGCAGCGCGGCAGGCAAGCAGGAGUCCAAUAACCGCACCAACUGCUGAAACUCGCCACACGAGAUAUUCGCGGCAGGCACAAAAUCGAAAACCAAUUGCCAGCGGUAGUGGCAGCAGCUCCUUCAACUGAAUUGUAACACAGCGUCAAAAAAAAAAAAAAGCGUGGAGCAUCGGGCGCCGGAAAAUCCCCAAAGCCAAAAAAACACAAUAACAACAACAACAAGAGGCAAAGAAACCAGUGGAGCGGGGAUCAAUGAACGCGGCACGCAGCAGCUGCGAGCAACAACAACAACAACAGCAGCAGCAGCAGAAGAAGAAAAGCGAAACGGGCCAGCAAUU
rnacentral:sRNA from 1 species